AGUGAACGCUGGCGGUAGGCCUAACACAUGCAAGUCGAACGGCAGCACAGUAAGAGCCUGCUCUUACGGGUGGCGAGUGGCGGACGGGUGAGGAAUACAUCGGAAUCUACUUUUUCGUGGGGGAUAACGUAGGGAAACUUACGCUAAUACCGCAUACGACCUACGGGUGAAAGCAGGGGAUCUUCGGACCUUGCGCGAUUGAAUGAGCCGAUAUCGGAUUAGCUAGUUGGCGGGGUAAAGGCCCACCAAGGCGACGAUCCGUAGCUGGUCUGAGAGGAUGAUCAGCCACACUGGAACUGAGACACGGUCCAGACUCCUACGGGAGGCAGCAGUGGGGAAUAUUGGACAAUGGGCGCAAGCCUGAUCCAGCCAUACCGCGUGGGUGAAGAAGGCCUUCGGGUUGUAAAGCCCUUUUGUUGGGAAAGAAAAGCAGCAGGUUAAUACCCCGCUGUUCUGACGGUACCCAAAGAAUAAGCACCGGCUAACUUCGUG
rnacentral:rRNA from 1 species